rnacentral:rRNA from 1 species
CCGAUGAAGGGCGUGCUAAUCUGCGAUAAGCACCGGUAAGGUGAUAUGAACCGUUAUAACCGGCNAUACCCGAAUGGGGAAACCCAGUGUGANUCGUCACACUAUCAUUAACUGAAUCCAUAGGUUAAUGAGGCGAACCGGGGGAACUGAAACAUCUAAGUACCCCGAGGAAAAGAAAUCAACCGAGAUUCCCCCAGUAGCGGCGAGCGAACGGGGAGGAGCCCAGAGCCUGAAUCAGCAUGUGUGUUAGUGGAAGCGUCUGGAAAGGCGCGCGAUACAGGGUGACAGCCCCGUACACAAAAGCGCAUGUGCUGUGAGCUCGAUGAGUAGGGCGGGACACGUGGUAUCCUGUCUGAAUAUGGGGGGACCAUCCUCCAAGGCUAAAUACUCCUGACUGACCGAUAGUAGCCCUA